AGUGAACGCUGGCGGUAGGCCUAACACAUGCAAGUCGAACGGCAGCACAGUAAGAGCUUGCUCUUACGGGUGGCGAGUGGCGGACGGGUGAGGAAUACAUCGGAAUCUACUUUUUCGUGGGGGAUAACGUAGGGAAACUUACGCUAAUACCGCAUACGACCUACGGGUGAAAGCAGGGGAUCUUCGGACCUUGCGCGAUUGAAUGAGCCGAUGUCGGAUUAGCUAGUUGGCGGGGUAAAGGCCCACCAAGGCGACGAUCCGUAGCUGGUCUGAGAGGAUGAUCAGCCACACUGGAACUGAGACACGGUCCAGACUCCUACGGGAGGCAGCAGUGGGGAAUAUUGGACAAUGGGCGCAAGCCUGGUCCAGCCAUACCGCGUGGGUGAAGAAGGCGUUCGGGUUGUAAAGACCUUUUGUUGGGAAAGAAAAGCAGCAGGUUAAUACCCCGCUGUUCUGACGGUACCCAAAGAAUAAGCGCCGGCUAACUUCGUG
rnacentral:rRNA from 1 species